CACCUAGAGGGUGCAAUAAGAACUGCUAACUCUUUGCUCCGGAAAUAACUACCGGGCCCCUCU
rnacentral:tRNA from 1 species